AGAUGGAGAGUUUGAUCCUGGCUCAGGACGAACGCUGGCGGCGUGCCUAACACAUGCAAGUCGAGCGCGAAAGCCACCUUCGGGUGGUGAGUAGAGCGGCGGACGGGUGAGUAACGCGUGAACAACCUACCUCCAAGACCGGGAUAACACCGGGAAACCGGUGCUAAUAC
rnacentral:rRNA from 1 species